UACGUAGGUGGCAAGCGUUAUCCGGAAUUAUUGGGCGUAAAGCGCACGUAGGCGGUUUUCCAAGUUGGAGGUGAAAUCCCUGGGCUUAACCCAGGAACUGCCCCCAAAACUGGAUGACUCGAGUCCGAGAGAGGUGAGUGGAAUUUCCAGUGUAGAGGUGAAAUUCGUAGAUAUUGGAAAGAACACCAGUGGCGAAGGCGGCUCACUGGCUCGGUACUGACGCUGAGGUGCGACAGCGUGGGGAGCAAACAGG
rnacentral:rRNA from 1 species